rnacentral:rRNA from 1 species
CUCGUAGGUGGCCAACUAAGUCAGACGUGAAAUCCCCAGGCUCAACUUGGGAACUGCGUCUGAUACUGGAUGGCUUGAAUUCGGGAGAGGGAUGCAGAAUUCCAGGUGUAGCGGUGAAAUGCGUAGAUAUCUGGAAGAACACCGGUGGCGAAGGCGGCUCUCUGGGCCUUACCUGACGCUGAGGAGCGAAAGCGUGGGCAGCGAACA